AUGGAUUUGGGUAGCUGGUCGCCACACCGCGAGAAAGGUACGUCUUCCCCUCGGCUCGCCCUCCCUUGGACGGCGACGGCCGUCACGUCUGAAGACAUGCCACCAGCAUUGAAGAGGCGCAAACUAGUUCGUCUGUCCUUCAAAGGACCAGUUCGCUUCCUUCGGAUCAGUAGUAAGGCUGAUGCCUUCAUGGCUGUUGAAGCCUUGAAGGAAGGACAGGACCUGAAGAUCGCCAUCUUGGAGGAUCUCGCCCUCGGGGAGGCCUCUCAUGUGGCGCAAGCGAUUCUGCCCUUUUACCCGCGCGUCCUCGAGGGACCAGACUUGUUGCUCCUAUGCAACAAGAUCGGUGAGGAGGCCGCGGUGAAGUCCUGCCUGCAGAUGAACCAGUCUGCGCUUGCGGUUCUGGAGACGCAGUCCAGAGAUCUCAACCUGUCGAUUGCUAGGGACACAGCUAUGUUACGCUAG
rnacentral:rRNA from 1 species